AUGGGUCCAAGGCAACAAAAAUUAAAGUUGAAAGCGGCUGAAGGUGGAAAAGUAAAUGUUGAAAAUUACACUUUUGAUCAAGAGAAGGCUAGGAGAGAGCUUGCACUGAUGAUCUUCCCACAUGAGUACCCUUUAUCUAUGGUGGAUCACCCUGGUUUUCAUAGGUUUUGUUCUUAUUUGCAACCAUUGUUCAAGAUGGUGAGCAGAAAUACUAUUAGGAAUGACAUUGUAGCUAUGCAUUCUACUCAGAAGGAGAAGAUGGUGGUUUUUUUGCAAGUUUCAAACACCGAGUGGCUGUCACUACAGAUUUGUGGACAGCAGGCUAUCAAAAGAUAG
rnacentral:rRNA from 1 species